GUGCCGUGGGGCAUAGGGGGACCAUUGCUGCACACAGGCAAGCUGCAUAGGGGCCAGGGCGGAAUCCACAUUGCUGGAGAAGACCCUCUCGCUCUUCCCAGGUGACCCGCAGCAGCGAGAUAUCUGGCAGGAUAAAAUCCUGUGGAAAAGGUAGGGAUAGUGUUCAGUGCAGGUCCGCCCCCCCGCCCAGCUCUCUGAUUUCCCCAAUGCACAGAAACCCCAGUGCAGCCCUGACCCAAGCAGUUGCCCUUCCCAAGUGAGCCGCGGCAACGAGAUGGUUUCAUUAAUCACUCAUUCCCCAUUACUCACCAUGUCUUCGCUGCUGUGGCCUCUCUGUGCUAUGUUUGCUAUGUGUAAAGGAUGCUACAAAUGGGACUAAAAACUCCUUAACUGUGAUUAUAAACAAUGCAGCCUCUGUAAUAAAUGUUUCUAUUUCUGUUUUUUUUCUAAGUGUCCUUGAAUAGUACCAGUAAUCCCCCAUCCCUAUCACAGACAGCUGAAAAGCUACAGAACCUGAGGAGGAAACCAAGAAAAAGCAAAGAAGAUUUGCUGAAAGCAGUUAUGAAUCAGUCUGCCAGAGAGAGUAAGAGGCUGCAGAACUGGAGAGUAAAAAUUCAGCAGUGGAGGGAAACAGAAAGCAGGAGAAAGGAAUUGGCUAAGAAGAAAAGCACAAAGCAGCUGAUAAGCCUCCUGGCGCACCAAACGGAGUGUAUGCAGUCACUCAUAGCCAUGCAGGCAGAGCACUGCCGUGCUGCCCCCCCCCCAUCCCAAAGCUCUCUCCCUUGUGCCCCAAUGUCAGCUCAAAACCCCCUUCUCCAGCAUCCAGAUUCUUACCACCACCAGUUGCCCCCAACACCUGUACGUUCACCUACCAGCCCUGAGAACUACGACCCUUACCCUCUGCAAUCAACCCCCAUAACCAUGCAGCAUUUUCAUCCUGAAGUGCAGCAGGUAUUGCACAGCACUCCAGGCAGGACAUAUUCAAACCUGUGACUGUACAGUUCACCACCCUACCCCCCUGUCCUUUUACUUACUGUCUUUUCAAUAAAUGAUUUCUUGGCUUUUAAAA